GAUGAACGCUGGCGGCGUGCCUAAUACAUGCCAGUCGAGCGAACGGACGAGAAGCUUGCUUCUCUGACGUUAGCGGCGGACGGGUGAGUAACACGUGGAUAACCUACCUAUAAGACUGGGAUAACUUCGGGAAACCGUAGCUAAUACCGGAUAAUAUUUUGAACCGCAUGGUUCAAAAGUGAAAGACGGUUUUGCUGUCACUUAUAGAUGGAUCCGCGCUGCAUUAGCUAGUUGGUAAGGUAACGGCUUACCAAGGCAACGAUGCAUAGCCGACCUGAGAGGGUGAUCGGCCACACUGGAACUGAGACACGGUCCAGACUCCUACGGGAGGCAGCAGUAGGGAAUCUUCCGCAAUGGGCGAAAGCCUGACGGAGCAACGCCGCGUGAGUGAUGAAGGUCUUCGGAUCGUAAAACUCUGUUAUUAGGGAAGAACAUAUGUGUAAGUAACUGUGCACAUCUUGACGGUACCUAAUCAGAAAGCCACGGCUAACUACGUG
rnacentral:rRNA from 1 species